rnacentral:rRNA from 1 species
AGCCAGACUCCUACGGGAGGCAGCAGUGGGGAAUAUUGCACAAUGGGGGAAACCCUGAUCCAGCGACGCCGCGCGAGUGAAGAAGUAUUUCGGUACGUAAAGCUCUCUCAGCAGGAAAGAAAAUGACGGUACCUGACUAAGAAGCCCCGGCUAACUACGUGCCAGCAGCCGCGGUAAUACGUAGGGGGCAAGCGUUAUCCGGAUUUACUGGGUGUAAAGGGAGCGUAGACGGCAGGGCAAGUCUGGAGUGAAAGCCCGGGGCCCAACCCCGGGACUGCUUUGGAAACUGCCAUGCUAGAGUGCUGGAGAGGUAAGCGGAAUUCCUAGUGUAGCGGUGAAAUGCGUAGAUAUUAGGAGGAACACCAGUGGCGAAGGCGGCUUACUGGACUGUAACUGACGUUGAGGCUCGAAAGCGUGGGGAGCAAACAGGAUUAGAUACCCCGGUAGAG